AAUCUUAUUGUCUCAUGGUUUUAAGGCCGGUUUAAAUACAUAUUGUUAAUAUCUGUCCUAUAAUGGAAAAAUAAAUGUUAUCCUGAAUAGGUAAUUUCAUUUUUUUUGUUUAUUUUGCAUAAUGGCAGACUGCAGGAAUAUCUAUUAUUUUGUCAUUUUUAUGCCUAUUCUAAAAACAGAAGUGUUAAAAAGACGGGCAAAGAGUGAUUUUUAUACGAAAAAGAUAUAAUAUAUUUAUUUAUUUGUUUAUUUUUGCAUUCCGAAAUAAAGUGAAGCGGACCGGCAAGUUGGAAGUGAAAACUAUGGGCUCAACCCAUAAAUUGCUUUCAAAACUGCUGGCCUUGAGUAGUGCAGAGGUAGGUGGAAUUCCCGGUGUAGCGGUGGAAUGCGUAGAUAUCGGGAGGAACACCAGUGGCGAAGGCGACCUACUGGGCACCAACUGACGCUGAGGCUCGAAAGCAUGGGUAGCAAACAGGAUUAGAUACCCUGGUAGUCCAUGCCGUAAACGAUGAUUACUAGGUGUUGGAGGAUUGACCCCUUCAGUGCCGCAGUUAACACAAUAAGUAAUCCACCUGGGGAGUACGACCGCAAGGUUGAAACUCAAAGGAAUUGACGGGGGCCCGCACAAGCAGUGGAGUAUGUGGUUUAAUUCGAAGCAACGCGAAGAACCUUACCAGGUCUUGACAUCCAACUAACGAAGUAGAGAUACAUUAGGUGCCCUUCGGGGAAAGUUGAGACAGGUGGUGCAUGGUUGUCGUCAGCUCGUGUCGUGAGAUGUUGGGUUAAGUCCCGCAACGAGCGCAACCCUUGUGAUAUGUUACUAACAUUGAGUUGAGGACUCAUAUCAGACUGCCGGUGAUAAACCGGAGGAAGGUGGGGAUGACGUCAAAUCAUCAUGCCCCUUAUGGCCUGGGCUACACACGUACUACAAUGGCGUCUACAAAGAGCGGCAAGCCUGUGAAGGCAAGCGAAUCUCAUAAAGGACGUCUCAGUUCGGAUUGAAGUCUGCAACCCGACUUCAUGAAGCUGGAAUCGCUAGUAAUCGCGAAUCAGCAUGUCGCGGUGAAUACGUUCUCGGGCCUUGUACACACCGCCCGUCAAACCAUGGGAGUUGGUAAUGCCCGAAGCCGGUGGCAUAACCUUUCGAGGAGUGAGCCGUCGAAGGCAGGACCGAUGACUGGGGUUAAGUCGUAACAAGGUAUCCCUA
rnacentral:rRNA from 1 species